CCUACGGGGGGCAGCAGUGAGGAAUAUUGGUCAAUGGACGAGAGUCUGAACCAGCGAAGCAGCGUGAAGGAUGACUGCCCUAUGGGUUGUAAACUUCUUUUAUAUGGGAGUAAAAUGUUCCACGUGUGGGAUUUUGUAUGUACCAUAUGAAUAAGGAUCGGCUAACUCCGUGCCAGCAGCCGCGGUAAUACGGAGGGUCCGAGCGUUAUCCGGAUUUAUUGGGUUUAAAGGGAGCGUAGGUGGAUUGUUAAGUCAGUUGUGAAAGUCUGCGGCUCAACCGUAAAAUUGCAGUUGAAACUGGCAGACUGGAGUACGGUAGAGGUGAGCGGAAUUCGUGGUGUAGCGGUGAAAUGCUUAGAUAUCACGAAGAACACCAAUGGCGAAGGCAGCUCACUGGACUGCAACUGACACUGAGGCUCGAAAGUGUGGGUAGCAAACAGGAUUAGAUACCCGGGUAGUC
rnacentral:rRNA from 1 species